rnacentral:lncRNA from 1 species
CGAUUCCUUCCUUCUGCAAAACAUCUGAAGCAGCCAUUCCGCGUCUUCUCCCCGAGAGAAGCCUGUGACAGCGUCUGAUAAUGCUCUUUUAUAUCCGAUAUUCUGCAUGUCUGUGAGCAGGAGGGCUGUUGCCCCUUACAAGAGGAUGAUCCAGCAUCAGGGCUGUAGCAGACUGACCAGCUCUUAGGCCAUCUUUGUGGAUUGCGUGGAACAGGGAGUCACCAAAAAUGUUUCCAGAGUAAUAGAGACAUUCACACCAAUGGAGUCUGAGUCUGCAUGUGUGAGGCCCAAACCCUCACCCUUUUUGUCCUGGUAGAAUUGUAUUGUGUUGUCCUGAUGGAAUCCCAAACCAGGAGAGCAGCGUGCCAUAAGUGGAAGAAAGGCCUCAACCCUUCCUCCUCCUCUGACUUCAGAGAUUUCUAAGUGCUGGGUCAGGAGGGGCGCGCCGAGAGCUGAGAGAAUGCGGUGCAGGCUGAGGAGGAGGACGCCAGUGCUCAGGGGCACACGCAGGCUUCUGUGGUAAUUUCCCUGAGCCCAGGUCACGGGCUGUGGAAUCUUCCAGGCUGUUCUGCAGGGAAUGGAGGGGAGGGCCUAGAGGCAUUGUUUCCCUGGCAUUGACAAAACCUUCAAGGCAUUCAUGAAGCAGCAGCAACCCCAGAGGCCCACCUGAGGAGGGGGCCGAGCCCAGCCAGAGGUGGACCACAGACACGGAGCCGCGGCCUUGCUCGGCACUCCUCCCACCGGACGAUUCUUUUUGAUGCUGAUCUGAGAGGGUCCAGGUUCUGCUUCACGGGAGGUGACCUCCUGUCCAGUCUUAAUGGGCUGUCUGUAACUUCUGCACACCACACACAGAUGGGGUUUGGGUAGGCCUACAAGGUGUCCCAGCCUAGCCUGAGAGUGUGGUCGCGGCAUUUCCCUCUCAAGUGGGGCUCCUGCAACCCGGGUGUUGGCUGUCAGGUGCCAUCAUGCUCAGUCCGAAAUGAAAUAUGAGAUAGUGCUGGAAGAUGAGACCCCCAGUCAGAAGACACUCAAUCAGUUACUAGAGAGGAGCAAAGAACAAGUAGGAAUAGCACUGUUACUGAUGACACAACUAGACUAAAGCCAGAGGGCAUCUAGUGGCUGAAGUGCACAAAAGUGAAAGGAAAGUCUGAUGCUGUACCACGCACACAACUGGAACAUGGAACAUGAGAAGCAC